GUGAAGUCCACCCAGGGGGGGUUCCCAGGAAGGCAUUGCUGAGGAGGCUAAAGGUCAAGAAUAGCAGUGCCAACCCCAGCGGGUGACCAGGGAGAGGGAUCAUUUGCAUUAAGGCACAAAGUCAACAGGAGUGGCUGCCGAGCUCACAGAGCAGGACAAGGGGGCCACAGGGGCCGCCGCUCCAUGGUAAGAAGAGGCCUGCUCAGAUGGGCAUCUGGAGAAGACCUGUCCAGCUCCAGGGUAGAAAAGGAACAGAUGGGCUCAGGCCUGGGUGCUGCCCAAGGCCAGGCUGGAGUACAACGGCGUGAUCUCGGCUUUCCACAACCUCCACCUCCCGGGAUCAAGUGAUUCCCCUGCCUCAGCCUCCUAAGUAGUAGGAAUUACAGGUGUGCACCACCACACCCGGCUAACUUUUGUAUUUUUAGUAGAGACACGGUUUUGUCAUGUUGGCCAGGCUGGUCUCAAUCUCCUGACCUCAAGUGAUCCACCCGCCUGGGUCUCCCCAAAAUGCUAGAAAUACAGGUAUGAGCCACUGUGCCUGGCCCAAGAUCUUUGUGUUAGACUCAUGCUGAGUGUCCCACAUUGUAGGAAGCUCCUAAAAUGACCCCCAGUGAAAGCCCCUCUCCUGGCUUUCACCCUCUUGAUAUCUCUCCCUUGAGUGUGGGCUGGACUUAACAGCUCACUUCUAAUGAAUAGGAUAUGAUGGGGGUGAUGAAUGUCACUUCUGAGAUGAAGUUCUAAAAAGACUAUGGAGUCUGUCUUGGGCUCUCUCCCUCCGCUCACUCUAGGGGAAGCCAGCUGUCAUGUCAGGAGGUACCCGGAGCCUCUGUAUGGCUGGGAGCUAGAAGCAGCCUCAACCCAGAGUCAGUAGGAGUCGGAGGGCCUCAUUCCACCAGCUCACAGGGAACUGAAGCCCACCCACAAUUACGUAAGUGAGCUUGCACCGCAGUCAGGCUGGGGAUUCCCUCUCGGCCAAGUGUUCAGAUGAAACUGCAGCCCCAGCCACAGCUUGACUGCGUGUUGUUGGCGACCUGGGGGCAGAGGCACCAGCUCAGCUAUACCUGGAUUCCUGACUCAGAGACCAUCUGAUAAUAAAUGUUUACUAGUUUUCA
rnacentral:lncRNA from 13 species